UGCGUUAUUUUAUUUACUUGUGUAUUUGUUCGUACGUUGGUUUUUUGGUUUUUUUUUUGUUUGCGGCGCUGGUUCGCAAUGAUGACGUACCCGCGAGAGCACCGGUAACAAAUGUAUGUAAACAACAAAAAAAAACUGCAAAGCCAACAUAAUCAAAGGAGAAAGUGAGCGUGCAGAAGGGAGAAUUAUAACAAGAACAACAUUGUUUGUUGUUGUUGUCCUCAUGGAGCGAGAGAGUGUAUAAUCAAAUCAACGCUUUAAGGGGAAAGUGCGGCGAUAAUAGCGAAGACGGCGACUUUGUCUUCGACACUUCAUACGAAAACAGCAAAUAAACUGAUUCAGAAGUAAAACUAACGUGGCCGAGAGUGUUCACUGUUUACAUCGCUGCAAAUAAGAUUUUAAAGAAAAAAAAAAUAAAACAAUAAAUAAAACGGGUGUGCACCAAAUAUUCUAUUUUUUAUUUUUGUGAAUAUAGUAAAUUAAAUAUUUUAUUUAUCGUUUAAUUCAAGUAUAAUCUAACGCAAUAAAUUAGAACGUGUGUAUGUGUGUGAUUGUCGACGAAUAUUGAAAAUUUUUACAUGAAAUAUGUGUGAUUUUACAUAAUGGUGCAGUUUUUCUUUUAAUAUGGUUAGAGCGUGUGUGUACGCCGAACGUGUGAAAAAAAACUAUGUAUGAUGGGCUCUUUAACAACGCAACGAAAUCGGUUACGAAAACAGUUAAUGCCAGUUAGGACAGGGGUGUGUGCUGCGGCGAAGUAGCUCCGAAGCAUCAACAAUUGCAACCGUGCAGGGGAAUUCUGCAGCGUAGCAGUGUUGUACAACAUUUCUCCUCAAUCUCAUACGAUUUUCAGCGUGUAUAAUAGCGUGGUUUUCCUGCCAUUGCCAUCGACGAUACAUGAGUUUUGUGUAUGUCGAAUUGUUGGUUUGUUCGUUUGCCUAGAGCCCAAUUACACGAGCAAACUUUUGUUGCGGCAACUCUUGGUUUAUAGGCGAGGGGGCGACGAGGAGAGGGGAAUC